rnacentral:rRNA from 1 species
UACGGAGGGUGCAAACGUUGCUCGGAAUCAUUGGGCGUAAAGCGCACGUAGGCGGUCCAGCAAGUCGGGUGUGAAAGCCCUCGGCUUAACCGAGGAAGUGCAUUCGAAACUACUGGACUUGAGUACUGAAGAGGAUCGCGGAAUUCCCGGUGUAGAGGUGAAAUUCGUAGAUAUCGGGAGGAACACCAGUGGCGAAGGCGGCGAUCUGGGCAGAUACUGACGCUGAGGUGCGAAAGCGUGGGAGCAAACAGG